GUAAAUGAAGGCCAUGCUCUUAACAAAAUUUGAAACCUGCCCAAUCAAUAUACGGCUAAUAUCGGACAAACAGGCCUGUUGCCGUAAGGGUUGACACCCGGCUGGUAUUUUACUGGCCUAGCUGGUGAAACAUCUGCCAAGGCCGGGACUGGUAUUACAAACUUACCGGCAAUGUAGUUGCCGAUAAAUUUGUAAUACCCUUUAAAAAAAAGCCCUCGGCCCGCCCCCAAUUCGCUCAGAACUUACCUUUUUUUUCAGCCUCCUGGUCAUCGCGCGAUGUUGCUCUUCUCCUUUUGAGUCAAUGUACGUGGCCCGCCCCUUUUGCACCACAGACUGCCCCUUUUUGUUCCCGCCCCCCAACAGCCGAUAAAAGUUUUCAGAAAAGGAGGCAACCCUAGUUGCCGUUGGAGGGCUCUAUACAUGGGCCACUAAGCCGCUAACUGGUUUCAGAAGGACUGAGGUAGAAGCUAUUGUCAGCCAAUGUAUGGCAACCAUUAGAGCAGUGAUCCCCAACCAGUGGCUCGUGAGCAACAUGCAAAAUAAGCAAAUGACGUUCUCCGCACUGCCUUUUCAAUCUUUCAAAGAAUGCAUCAAAUCCUCGCUUGGGCAUUGCAGCACUGAUGGGAACACAGAAGAUUUUAAAGCACAAUCUAUGCUGAUUUACGGAUAUAUGGACAUUAAUGUUUUUUCAGAAGUUUUUUAACACAAUAAUGUUUCUAGAAAUUUUUUAAAAAAUUGCUUUUUUCAUAUGAUGUUAAUUUAAUUGAUGGCACGCCCCUUUGACUAAUUUCUCACUUGAUGGGAGGGCUUUUAUAGCCUUGUUUGUUCUGUGUUUGUUACACUUGAGAAAGGGUAUGUAAUGACCCGAAACAUGUCGUGUAGUAGCCUUUAAUAAACACAACCACAGCGUUUUGCUAUUGA